UAUAAAGGCUAAUUGGUUAAAAGCUCACCGCUGGCUGCAGGCUUAAAUCAAGAUCUUGGAGUGUUAUAAUGGAUAAGUAACACGGCGAGGCACAGGCACCACCGGCGGAGUUGUGUGUUAUCCCCACUAGCCGGGCUGGCUAGGUAGCCUCGGUAAAACCACCGCAGCCACCCCCAUUCCGCGAUCCGCAGGAUCGUCGAGGGCGAGUAUCUUUCGAGUUAAGGACGUAGCGGCUCACGCGAUUGGCCCGCACCUACGGCUACCCCCGUUCCGGAUAGUAUGUACCACGAGUCAUCGAUCGAGCCACCACCCUAUGAGGAAUCGCGGGAUCCAUCCCCCUCGGAAAGCCAUUUGCUCCGCUCCGCCUCCUACCCCUCCAACAACGACACCCCGUCUGGUUACUUUCAGCUUAGCCGUCCUCUGUCUCCCCCCUCCACACGCGUUUACCACCCUUCUACCAACGUCCGUUUCAUCCCUCUCGUUCCAACGCAUCCCUUCGGCUCGUUCGUCUGUCCUUCGGCUAGUCUAUCUAUCCGACGCGCAACUAACCACCCCGUGACUCUCGAAGCGUGACUCCACGCUCUGUCUUUCUCUCACCACCUUCGUCUCGACCUUCUCUUUCUCUUUCUUUUUCUCCACCCUACCAAAGCUUCUCUCCCUCUCCUUUUCUCUUGCUCUCUCUCUCUCUCUCUCUCAGUCUCCUCCACUUUACCCUACGUCGCUCCGCUCGUUCCCGCUGCGUGCGCGAAUGUUCGAGUAAGGCCCUCGUUCGUGUGACCUGUGGUUUCUCCGGCGUUUUCCUACCCUUAGUGCGAGAACAGUGCCCAUCCGCAGUCCAUCAUUCGCCACGAUACGCGUUCGCGAUUCUUUCCCUCGAUCGUUUCGAUGAGAAUCGUCCCAAUAACGCGACUCCAUCGUCAGUGAAACGUUACCGAAACGUUCGUUCUGGUUCGCGAUCAACCACCGAGCUGCAACGACACCCUUCGGCGAUGCUGACGAUUCCGAACGAGUCCGCGAUGAUCAGUUGGCUCGUUAUUCCAUACAGAGGAUGAUAAGUUUUCGGAUCGAUCGCGAUAGGAUGCCGGGAAAACGUGUCGUCGAGUGAUUAACGAUCAGUGGAAGAGAAAGUGACUCGAGGAAGUGUCUCGGUGGUUACUCUUCGCGGUUUUACACGCGCGACAACGUCUCGCGAAUAGCCGAGCUGCGGCUAAGAGGGGACAGAGGAGAGUCGUAGCAGGGACGCGGAGGAGAACGGCUACGUGUCAGGCUGGUAGGAGGAGGUUCUGGCACGCACACGCUACGUCAGGGGUGGUGGUCGAAGGACGAGAGGGGAGGGUGGUAGAGGGUGGCACUCGAAAGGGUGGGCCCUCCAAGUGUCUUGUCUCCUAUCAUCCUCUCGUCCAGGGUAUCGCUUACGAAUGUCGCGCGAUCGAGCGAUCCGUCUCCGAUCCAGCACGACGAGGCACGUCCUGCCGACGGAAGCGUCGCGAUCAACUCCUCGUUUAAUCUAACCGAUUUGAUCGAAGCAUCGAUACCCACGUAUAUCACCACGCGACUGAUAUGAGACGCGAACCAUUGGAAGCGAUCCGCGUGUCGGACAGACUCUGCUCCGCCGACGACGGUCCGUCGAUGGAACAGCCGGUGCGUUUCUGACGGGACGGCGAGACACGAAGCGGAACGAUCGUGCUGAGUGAAACAGGUGACUCGGUUGACUCGUGCGUCGUCGUUGCUGGCGGGACAAAAAUCGACGGCAGCGUCGCGACGUGUUCGGGACACUGUGGACGCGCGUCAACGAUGUCGGGUGAAACGGAAAUCGAGGUGUCCGUGGUGUCCGAAGAGGAUUUGGAGCUCGAAGGCUCGAGGAGCAGCUCGACGCCGGCGGACAUGUUGUUGCAAGAGAAGAACGGCAAAUCCGGCUGCGGUUUAAACAAUCAUCACUCGUUCAGCUUCGACGUCGGUAAGCCGGCGCUCAGGCCGGCUUGUAAUCCUCAGUACACGUCCUUCAGCAUCUCCAGCAUCCUUGGCAGGCCCGAGUCGCCGCCCGUCGAUUCAACGUCGACCGUGUCGGCCGAGAGGCAAUCGUCGGACGCGGACAGAGUCUCGCCUUUGCCGACGAGCAACGCGCAAACCUCGCAGAGGAUCGGUUCCUCUUGCGACAGCCCUGCUAGAGGAUUGUCCUCGCCCGCGUCCAUCAGAUUCUCCGCUAAUCAACGGGGUACAUCGACGGUGGGACACACCGUAGAAACGAGAAACAACUCGACCAGUAUCGGUAUCGGUUGUGCUACCAGUGCUACCAGCCCGGCGUCCACUUUCUCACCGCCCAGCGACGCUGCUGCGAAUCCGUUACUGGGCCAUCAAGCGUCGGCUGACUUGGCGAUGCUCUCCAGGUUGGGCCUGAUGUCGUCGUUGAUAGCGGGCCGUUAUCCAGUUGGUAUCGGGGUCGGUGGUGUUUUCUUUCCAUCGACGCUUCAGCAUAUCCAUCAGCAACAACAGCAUCAACAUCAUUCGCGAUUAGCUGCCGCGUCGUCGGCGUUGAGCAACGCCGUACAGGUAUCCGGCCAAUCGGACAUCGUCGACGCCGACGGCAUCCGCGGCGUCCUACCCGGCGGCGGCGGCUGGCCGUUUCCAUGGAGGCCGACGCACAGCUUGCAGACGCUCGAGCAUCCGUCGUCGGGAGACGUCGUGGGCACUCUAAGCCGAGUCAGUCCUGCUUCCGCUUCCUUCCCCCAAAGGGAUGAACUGGACGAGGAUAACGGGGAGGAUCGUCUGCACCGGACACGGAGUCCAUCGACGGGCGACGAGGGCCACGACGACCUAGGGGAUCAAGACGACUGUCCCGACGGUGAUGGCGAAGGAGAAUCGACCAACUCGACCGGCCUCCAUGGCGGUACGGGGAACUCGGGUGGUGGUGGUGGCGGGGGUGGACAGAACAGCGUGCAGGUCGGUGUUGACGGUCGUGACUCGAGCAGCAUGAAACGGAAGAAGAAGACGCGGACGGUGUUCUCGCGUUCGCAAGUGUUCCAAUUGGAGAGCACGUUCGACAUGAAACGUUACCUAUCGUCGUCGGAACGCGCCGGUCUGGCUGCCUCCUUACGGCUGACCGAGACCCAAGUGAAAAUCUGGUUUCAAAAUCGUCGUAACAAAUGGAAAAGGCAAUUGGCCGCGGAACUGGAAGCGGCAAACAUGGCGCACGCCGCUCAAAGACUGGUCAGAGUGCCGAUAUUGUAUCACGAAGCGUCAGCUGGAAGCGGAACGUCCGGUAGCGUCUCGGUGUCAGUGGCUACGCCGCCGACCGCUGCUGCGCCAGCGUCGGUAGCCACGUCGGCGCUCUCCCACUCGGUCGGCGUCGGAGUUGGCGUCGGUGUCGGCGUCGGCGUCGGCACCUCCUGCCCCCCUACCACUGCACAACCGAUCUUCUACUCCCAUCACCAUCAGCACCACCAUCAUCAUCCGGCUCACGUGCAGGCGCACACACUCCUACCCCACCAGGUACACCCACAGCCACCGCCACCCCCGCCACCGCCCCCUAACGGCCAACCACCCCAAUCCUCCUCGCAAUAACACCGUCCGGCUCACGAGACCGUCGGUCCGCUCCAACCAACCACCGCCUACGCCGCGAUGUCCCUCUCGCGAAUCGCCUCGAUCGCUUUGUCCGGAUGAACGGGAAUACCUCUCUACUCACGAUUUUCAACUGAUCCCACUUUCAUUUGGUCAGAUCAAUUUUGAUGAUUUUUAGUUUCGCACAGUAUGCUCGAUGAUGUCCAGUGAUUUCCAGUUUAUUUUUCUAUGCCUCGAAAUGAUAGGUAACUUCCGGGGUAGUUUUCUUGAGAAGUAUUUAUAUUUCGUUUUAUAGAUACGUUGUGUAGAGACAUCUUUGAUAUCUCUCAAGGAAAUCACUUUUUAAGCUACUUAACGUUUGCAGUGCCUCCAGGGUAGUUUCAUCCCUUAAAGGAACAACAAGGAUCCAGGAUUUUUCACCUAAUCGCGAGAAGGGACGAGAUCGUUGACCGACGGGAAGUUUCCGCUUCCGCCGCGGUUCAACGAGACUGGCGACUUCCGGCAAGUCGAACACUGUAAUAUAAGUAUGUAUCUAGUCUGUCAGUUGUCGAUAUGAAACUGCUCGUGGAACGAUUAUUAAGAUAUUUUGUCGAAAAACGUGGGACAAGCACACUUAUGUCCCUCUAUCCUACAUCUCUCUCUUUCUCUCAAUCUAUAUCCUCUUUUUCACUGUUUCGUCAUUACGUUCGAAAAUCGCACACGAAUCCUUGUUUUCACGAUCGAAAGCGAAAUUCUAUGUUUUAUUUAGUUUCUCUCUAAUCGGGAACGUUGCAAACGCGAAACGAACAGUGUGUCAACCUGUAAAAUGUAAUUCGCGAUCCACUAAGAGAUUGUAACUAAUUGUUAGGUAAAUCGUGUAAGACACAGGCAGGGUUCCUACGACGUUAAUUCUACCUGUUGUGAUAAGCAUCUAAACGAUUAAUUUUAUUAAACGAACGGUAUAGUUACGAAAUACCGGCUCUACUUUCCAUUGUAUAUCACUACCUAAUCUUAUAGGACGUCAAUUAAAAAAGAAAAAAACAAGAAAACGAAAUGAAAAGAAGAUGAACACGUCCA